GACGAACGCUGGCGGCGUGCUUAACACAUGCAAGUCGAGCGGUAAGGCCCUUUCGGGGGUACACGAGCGGCGAACGGGUGAGUAACACGUGGGUGACCUGCCCUCAGCUCUGGGAUAAGCCUGGGAAACCGGGUCUAAUACCGGAUAUGACUCCAUGACGCAUGUUGUGGGGUGGAAAGCCUUGUGCGGCUGAGGAUGGGCCCGCGGCCUAUCAGCUUGUUGGUGGGGUGANGGCCUACCAAGGCGACGACGGGUAGCCGGCCUGAGAGGGCGACCGGCCACACUGGGACUGAGACACGGCCCAGACUCCUACGGGAGGCAGCAGUGGGGAAUCUUGCACAAUGGGCGAAAGCCUGACGCAGCGACGCCGCGUGAGGGAUGACGGCCU
rnacentral:rRNA from 1 species